rnacentral:rRNA from 1 species
GCCUAACACAUGCAAGUCGAACGAGACCUUCGGGUCUAGUGGCGCACGGGUGCGUAACGCGUGGGAAUCUGCCCUUGGGUUCGGAAUAACUCGCCGAAAGGCGUGCUAAUACCGGAUGAUGUCGAAAGACCAAAGAUUUAUCGCCCAGGGAUGAGCCCGCGUAAGAUUAGCUAGUUGGUGAGGUAAAGGCUCACCAAGGCGACGAUCUUUAGCUGGUCUGAGAGGAUGAUCAGCCACACUGGGACUGAGACACGGCCCAGACUCCUACGGGAGGCAGCAGUGGGGAAUAUUGGACAAUGGGCGAAAGCCUGAUCCAGCAAUGCCGCGUGAGUGAUGAAGGCCUUAGGGUUGUAAAGCUCUUUUACCCGGGAUGAUAAUGACAGUACCGGGAGAAUAAGCUCCGGCUAACUCCGUGCCAGCAGCCGCGGUAAUACGGAGGGAGCUAGCGUUGUUCGGAAUUACUGGGCGUAAAGCGCACGUAGGCGGCUUUGUAAGUCAGAGGUGAAAGCCUGGAGCUCAACUCCAGAACUGCCUUUGAGACUGCAUCGCUUGAAUCCAGGAGAGGUGAGUGGAAUUCCGAGUGUAGAGGUGAAAUUCGUAGAUAUUCGGAAGAACACC